GAUGAACGCUGGCGGCGUGCCUAAUACAUGCAAGUCGAACGCACAGCGAAAGGUGCUUGCACCUUUCAAGUGAGUGGCGAACGGGUGAGUAACACGUGGAUAACCUACCUCAAGGUUGGGGAUAACAUUUGGAAACAGAUGCUAAUACCGAAUAAAACUUAGUAUCGCAUGAUACCAGGUUAAAAGGCGCUACGGCGUCACCUAGAGAUGGAUCCGCGGUGCAUUAGUUAGUUGGUGGGUAAAGGCGUUACCAAGACAAUGAUGCAUAGCCGAGUUGAGAGACUGAUCGGCCACAUUGGGACUGAGACACGGCCCAAACUCCUACGGGAGGCUGCAGUAGGGAAUCUUCCACAAUGGGCGAAAGCCUGGUGGAGCAACGCCGCGUGUGUGAUGAAGGCUUUCGGGUCGUAAAGCACUGUUGUAUGGGAAGAACAGCUA
rnacentral:rRNA from 1 species